rnacentral:rRNA from 1 species
CCUACGGGAGGCUGCAGUGAGGAAUAUUGGUCAAUGGGCGCGAGCCUGAACCAGCCAAGUCGCGUGAGGGAAGACGGUCCUAUGGAUUGUAAACCUCUUUUGUCGGGGAGCAAAAGACGCCACGCGUGGCGUUCCGAGAGUACCCGAAGAAAAAGCAUCGGCUAACUCCGUGCCAGCAGCCGCGGUAAUACGGAGGAUGCGAGCGUUAUCCGGAUUUAUUGGGUUUAAGGGGUGCUCAGGCGGAAGAUCAAGUCAGCGGGAAAAUUGAGAGGCUCAACCUCUUCGAGCCGUUGAAACUGGUUUUCUUGAGUGAGUGAGAAGUAUGCGGAAUGCGUGGUGUAGCGGUGAAAUGCAUAGAUAUCACGCAGAACUCCGAUUGCGAAGGCAGCAUACCGGCGCUCAACUGACGCUCAUGCACGAAAGUGUGGGUAUCGAACAGGAUUAGAUACCCUGGUAGUC